UGGGGAAUAUUGGACAAUGGGCGCAAGCCUGAUCCAGCAAUGCCGCGUGAGUGAUGAAGGCCUUCGGGUUGUAAAGCUCUUUCGCACGCGACGAUGAUGACGGUAGCGUGAGAAGAAGCCCCGGCUAACUUCGUGCCAGCAGCCGCGGUAAUACGAAGGGGGCUAGCGUUGUUCGGAAUUACUGGGCGUAAAGGGCGCGUAGGCGGUGUGUCAAGUCAGGCGUGAAAGCCCCGGGCUCAACCUGGGAACAGCGCUUGAGACUGGCACGCUCGAGUUCGGGAGAGGAUGGUGGAAUUCCCCAGUGUAGAGGUGAAAUUCGUAGAUAUUGGGAAGAACACCGAUGGCGAAGGCAGCCAUCUGGACCGACACUGACGCUGGGGCGCGAAAGCGUGGGGAGCAAAACAGGAUUAGAUACCCUGGUAGUCCACGCCGUAAACGAUGAGUGCUAGACGUCGGGGCCCUUAGGGCUUCGGUGUCGCAGCUAACGCAUUAAGCACUCCGCCUGGGGAGUACGGCCGCAAGGUU
rnacentral:rRNA from 1 species